rnacentral:rRNA from 1 species
UACGAAGGGGGCUAGCGUUGCUCGGAAUCACUGGGCGUAAAGCGCACGUAGGCGGCUUUUUAAGUCAGGGGUGAAAUCCUGGAGCUCAACUCCAGAACUGCCUUUGAUACUGAGAAGCUUGAGUCCGGGAGAGGUGAGUGGAACUGCGAGUGUAGAGGUGAAAUUCGUAGAUAUCAGGAGGAACACCGGUGGCGAAGGCGGCAUCCUGGACCAACACUGACGCUGAGGAGCGAAAGCCAGGGGAGCAAACGGGG